GACGAACGCUGGCGGCGUGCUUAACACAUGCCAGUCGAACGGAAAGGCCCUGCUUUUGUGGGGUGCUCGAGUGGCGAACGGGUGAGUAACACGUGAGUAACCUGCCCUUGACUUUGGGAUAACUUCAGGAAACUGGGGCUAAUACCGGAUAGGAGCUCCUGCUGCAUGGUGGGGGUUGGAAAGUUUCGGCGGUUGGGGAUGGACUCGCGGCUUAUCAGCUUGUUGGUGGGGUAGUGGCUUACCAAGGCUUUGACGGGUAGCCGGCCUGAGAGGGUGACCGGCCAAAUUGGGAAUGAGAUACGGGCCAGGCUCCAACGGGGGGGAGCGGGGGGGAAAAUUGGCCAAUGGGCGGAAGCCUGGUACAACAACCCCGGGGGGGGGAAGACGGGCUUUGGGGUUUAAAACGCUUUCGCCUGUGAAGAAGCGGGAGGGACGGGAAUGGGUUAAAAAGCCCCGGGUAACUACGUG
rnacentral:rRNA from 1 species